UACGUAGGGGGCAAGCGUUGUCCGGAAUUAUUGGGCGUAAAGAGCGCGCAGGCGGUGUAUCAAGUCAGAUGUGAAAUGUCCCGGCUUAACCGGGAAGGGUCAUUUGAAACUGGUAGACUAGAGUACAGCAGAGGAUAGCGGAAUUCCCGGUGUAGUGGUGAAAUGCGUAGAUAUCGGGAGGAACACCAGUGGCGAAGGCGGCUAUCUGGGCUGAAACUGACGCUGAGGCGCGAAGGCUAGGGGAGCAAACAGG
rnacentral:rRNA from 1 species